CGCACAUUGCGCCCCUUGGCAUUCCGAGGGGCAUGUCUGUUCGAGCGUCAUUGCACCCCUCAAGCGUAGCUUGGUAUUGGGUUUCGCCCUCGCGGCGGUCCCGAAAAGCAAUGGUCGCCCGGCGUGAACGUUCGAGUGUAGUAGAUUUCUCCCGCUCCGGACGUCAUGCUGCGGUGAGCCUUAACCUCAGACUUACAUCAAUGAUUGACCUCGGAUCAGGCAGGGAUACCCGCUGAACUUAA
rnacentral:misc_RNA from 1 species